AAAAAUAGCUAACGAGUGCUCACAUAGUUUUAUAUAUGGGUUGCUUGUGAGGUUUUAUAGUCAAGGUCUCCUUGCUAAUCAAACGAAUUACUCACACGUCCAGUGUGCGGCCAUGAAAUGCAACGUCAGCAAAAAUAAGGAAAGAGUGAAUGAUGAAUAAAGAAUAUGGAAUUAUG